CACGUAGGGUGCGAGCGUUGUCCGGAAUUAUUGGGCGUAAAGAGCUCGUAGGCGGUGUGUCGCGUCGGCCGUGAAAACCUGCAGCUUAACUGUGGGCUUGCGGUCGAUACGGGCAUCACUGGAGUUCGGCAGGGGAGACUGGAAUUCCUGGUGUAGCGGUGAAAUGCGCAGAUAUCAGGAGGAACACCGAUGGCGAAGGCAGGUCUCUGGGCCACUACUGACGCUGAGACGCGAAAGCGUGGGUAGCAAACAGG
rnacentral:rRNA from 1 species